AGUUAAAAUUUUUAUUUAUUUCUAAUGCUAACAACUGGUAUGGCUAACGGAAUAACUAGACAGUUACACAUGGCAUACCAUGUUUACCUCAUAUCGACAUACAAAGACUAAUUUUUAAUAGUAGAAAUAGAUAACUUUACUU
rnacentral:pre_miRNA from 1 species